UGGAACCAGUCUGUUGUUCCAUGUCCACUCCUAACUGUUGCUUCCUGACCUGCAUAUAGGUUUCUCAAGAGGCAGGUCAGAUGGUCUGGUAUUCCAAGUAUGCAGUUAUGUCGAGUUGCAUUAAGUAUACAUUUUUGGGUAGGUGUGGCAGCUAUGAGGCUAGUGGAAUGUUGGCUUCCCAACUAGGGAUUAAACCUGGGCCCUGGGAAUGAGAACACAGAGUACUUACCACUGGACUACCAGGGAAUUCCCAAGUAUAUUCUUAUUGUUAUGCAACAAUUGCCACUAUCCAUCUCGUGUUUUUUGUCAUCCCAAAUUGCUACUUGGUACUUACUAAAUAAUAACUUCUUCUUGUCCCUUAGUCUAUUUCUGGUAACCACUGUUAUACUUUCUAUCUUGGUCUUUAUGAAAUAAAUUCCUCUAGUUAAGUUAUGGAGUUGGAACUAUAUAUUAGACUUGGCCCUUUUGAACACCAUGAAUUGGAAAUGCACAGGGUUGAUAUUCAUAGGGACUUGGGGAUAAGUACAAAUUGGAGUUUUGACCUAUGGAGAUUCCUUCAGUUGGAUAUAAAGCCACCAGGGAAGCUCUCUAUAGCACUAGAGCAUUUUAAAUUUAUGUUUCUGUUUUCUGUGUUGGCCUGUACAUGUGUGUUUAUUACAUGCCACAGGGGACUGUGUAAUUACAUCAAACAAUGUUAAGAGUGAUUUUGCAAUAUCUAGGUAUCCUUUAAUAACCAUGAGAAGAUAUCCAAUGGGAAUUUGCUAUAUGUCUCAGGAAACUCAAACAAGGUCUCUGUAUCAUCCUAGAGGGGUGGGAUGAGGGAGAUGGGAGAGAGGUUCACAAGGGAGGGGAUAUACACCUAUGGCUGAUUCAUGUUGAGGUUUGACAGAAAACAGCAAAAUUCUGUAAAGCAAUUAUCCUUCGAUUAAAAAAUAAAUUAAAAAAAAUAUUCGUGAGAAGAAAUGCAGUAUGUGUUAGUCACAAGUCACUGGGUUCCUCUGUGCAAGGUUCUAUGCCAUUGGUAAUCAAAAGAUACAGAAAAUGCCCAUGAUGUGCAGAAACUCUCAAAAGGAGAUCCUAAUGAGACAAUGUAGACUUUAAAGCAUUUCUACAUACAGGAUUAAUUGGAUAAAACAUUCUAGUCCUUCAAAAUAGGAAAGGUUAGAUGUGUCUCCACUUAAUAUUUCUAUAAACCAUAUAAAGGAAUGUUUGACAGAAAUAAAAGAGAUAGUACAUUGUUCCAUAGGGGGACUUAAUCAUCCUUCUCCCCAUAAUGUUUCUCCAAGCAAUAGGGGAUAAUCAGGACAUUCAUGACAAUGAGUAAGGGUUUAAUACAUGUGUACUGAAUACUGUCUCUAGUAACUUAGAAAGUGCUUGUCUGGGGAUAGAGGUGAGGGGAUGGACUAGAACAGACAGUUGGUUUCAGGGGAAGAUUAUGUUCUGUAUCUUUUUGUAGCUGGUGUUUACUCAAGUAUGUUCAGUUUUCAAAACUCGUUGCCUGAAUUCUUAAAUGAGCAUUUCAUUGUACAUGAAAUAUAUCUCAACAACAAAAAGUAAAAAUCCUAUGCAGUCAGCAGGAAAAUAAACAGAUGUCUGACCUUGUUCAGUACAAGGUUUCCCAGUUUGAGGAAUGUGAUAUUAAACAGAAUCUCUACUGGGAAAUAGCUGUUUGUGUGUGUCUGUGUGUGACUUCACAGUUAACAAAUGACAUAUAAAAUCUUUCCAAAAGAAUGCCAGAUCCUAAUGCCAGACUCACAAACUUGAUGUAUGUGGUUUCAGGUUUUAUACUUCUCAUCCAUGGUGUUAUCAUGAUGGUGGGUUUGGUUCACACAUAAGAACUGUGGAACUUUCCACCUUUGUCAUUCUAAUACCAUUGGAGAUGACCAUUUUAGACUGCUCUUUGGUUUUUUAUUUUGUUGAAGACUGAAUUCCUAGUGGUGGUUCUCUGAGAAGACACACAUCUAUGGAGACCCAUACAAUACACAGAUUUUGGAACAAGUCUGACUUGCCACUUCCCAUCUACAAAGGUAUGGUUACUCGGGACUUCCUGCUAGUACAGUGGAUAGAAUCUAUCUGCCAAUACAGUGGACAUGGGUUCAAUCCCUGGUCCAGAAGAUUCUGAUGCCAUGAGGCAACUAAGCCCAUGUGCCACAACUACUGAGUCUGUGUGCCGUAACUACUGAAACCCAUGCACCUAGAGCCUGUGCUCUGCAAUGAGAGAAGCCACCAGAAUGAGAAGCCUAUGCACCACAAAAAAGAGUAGUCCCUGCUCACCACAACUAGAGAAAGCACUACGGGAAGCCACAAGGUCCAGUUCAACCAAAAAAAAAAAAAAAAAUCGUUACUACCUUCUUUGUGAGAAUUAAAAAGACCCUUGUGGCAGAGGAGGAUCCCAGGAAGUGAUGGCUGCUAUUAUUACUAUUACUUUUGUGACAGUUAUUAAUAUUUUUGAUACAUAACUUUUCAAAUUAUAGAGAUGUCAUUCAGAUAAUGGGAUCUUGAGUGCAAGUUCCUUGAAUAGAAUUUUGCUUCACCAACUUAAGGUCUGUGUGACCUUGACAAAGUUUCUUAACCUGUCUUAGCUGUAAAUACCUCACCCCUACAACAGGAAUAAUAAAUAUCCCCUACAUUGUAAGACUGAUGAGUUAAUUAAAUGAGAUGAUGCAUG